GGGCGCAUAGCGCAGUGGUUAGCGCGUCCGCUUUGCAAGCGGAAAGCCCCGGGUUCAAUCCCCGGUGUGUCCA
rnacentral:tRNA from 1 species